rnacentral:tRNA from 1 species
GCCGGUGUGGCGGAAUGGUAGACGCGCACGACUCAAAAUCGUGUUCCUUCGGGAGUGAGGGUUCGAGUCCCUCCGCCGGUA